AGCUUUGCGCAGUGGCAGUAUCGUAGCCAAUGAGGUUUAUCCGAGGCGCGAUUAUUGCUAAUUGAAAACUUUUCCCAAGAUCUAGGGGUCCAAUUUUGGAAUGUGGGGAGGUAAGGAGCUAC
rnacentral:snRNA from 1 species